rnacentral:rRNA from 1 species
UACGUAGGGGGCUAGCGUUGUCCGGAAUCAUUGGGCGUAAAGCGCGUGUAGGCGGCCCGGUAAGUCCGCUGUGAAAGUCGGGGGCUCAACCCUCGGAAGCCGGUGGAUACUGUCGGGCUCGAGUACAGAAGAGGCGAGUGGAAUUCCUGGUGUAGCGGUGAAAUGCGCAGAUAUCAGGAGGAACACCAAUUGCGAAGGCAGCUCGCUGGGACGUAACUGACGCUGAGACGCGAAAGCGUGGGGAGCGAACAGG